UACGGGGGGGCAAGCGUUGUUCGGAAUUACUGGGCGUAAAGGCUUGUAGGCGGCCAACUAAGUCAGACGUGAAAUCCCUCAGCUUAACUGGGGAACUGCGUCUGAUACUGGAUGGCUUGGAUUCGGGAGAGGAAUGCGGAAUUCCAGGUGUAGCGGUGAAAUGCGUAGAUAUCUGGAGGAACACCGGUGGCGAAGGCGGCAUUCUGGACCGACAUUGACGCUGAGGAGCGAAAGCCAGGGGAGCAAACGGG
rnacentral:rRNA from 1 species